rnacentral:rRNA from 1 species
GACGAACGCUGGCGGCGUGCCUAAUACAUGCAAGUCGAACGAGAGCGACCGGUGCUUGCACUGGUCAAUCUAGUGGCGAACGGGUGAGUAACACGUGGGUAACCUGCCCAUCAGAGGGGGAUAACAUUCGGAAACGGAUGCUAAAACCGCAUAGGUCUUCGAACCGCAUGGUUUGAAGAGGAAAAGAGGCGCAAGCUUCUGCUGAUGGAUGGACCCGCGGUGCAUUAGCUAGUUGGUGAGGUAACGGCUCACCAAGGCCGUGAUGCAUAGCCGACCUGAGAGGGUGAUCGGCCACAUUGGGACUGAGACACGGCCCAAACUCCUACGGGAGGCAGCAGUAGGGAAUCUGUCCGCAAUGGACGCAAGUCUGACGGAGCAACGCCGCGUGAGUGAAGAAGGUUUUCGGAUCGUAAAACUCUGUUGUUAGAGAAGAACAAGUGCUAGAGUAACUGUUAGCGCC